rnacentral:tRNA from 1 species
GGUCAUUGAUGUUGAUGAGUCGGUCCUGCCAAAGCCAGGACGCAUCAUGAGUGGGCCAUCAGUGGCCUC